rnacentral:rRNA from 1 species
GACGAACGCUGGCGGCGUGCUUAACACAUGCAAGUCGAACGGUGAAGGUGGGAGCUUGCUCCUGCUGGAUCAGUGGCGAACGGGUGAGUAACACGUGAGCAAUCCGCCCCGAACUCUGGGAUAAGCGCUGGAAACGGCGUCUAAUACCGGAUACGACGCGCGAGGGCAUCCUCUGCGCGUGGAAAGAAUUUCGGUUCGGGAUGAGCUCGCGGCCUAUCAGCUUGUUGGUGAGGUAAUGGCUCACCAAGGCGACGACGGGUAGCCGGCCUGAGAGGGUGACCGGCCACACUGGGACUGAGACACGGCCCAGACUCCUACGGGAGGCAGCAGUGGGGAAUAUUGCACAAUGGGCGCAAGCCUGAUGCAGCAACGCCGCGUGAGGGACGACGGCCUUCGGGUUGUAAACCUCUUUUAGUAGGGAAGAAGCGAAAGUGACGGUACCUGCAGAAAAAGCACCGGCUAACUACGUGCCAGCAGCCGCGGUAACAC